rnacentral:rRNA from 1 species
GGCGGAAAGCGCGCGCAGGCGGGACCAGCAAGUCGGAAGUGAAAUCCCGGGGCUCAACCCCGGAGCUGCCCUCGAAACUAGGUAGCUAGAAUCUUGGAGAGGUCAGUGGAAUUCCGAGUGUAGAGGUGAAAUUCGUAGAUAGUCGGAAGAACACCAGUGGCGAAGGCGACUGACUGGACAAGUAUUGACGCUGAGGUGCGAAAGCGUGGGGAGCAAACAG